rnacentral:rRNA from 1 species
GGAUGAACGCUAGCUACAGGCUUAACACAUGCAAGUCGAGGGGCAGCAUUUCAGUUUGCUUGCAAACUGGAGAUGGCGACCGGCGCACGGGUGAGUAACACGUAUCCAACCUGCCGAUAACUCGGGGAUAGCCUUUCGAAAGAAAGAUUAAUACCCGAUGGUAUAAUCAGACCGCAUGGUCUUGUUAUUAAAGAAUUUCGGUUAUCGAUGGGGAUGCGUUCCAUUAGGCAGUUGGUGAGGUAACGGCUCACCAAACCUUCGAUGGAUAGGGGUUCUGAGAGGAAGGUCCCCCACAUUGGAACUGAGACACGGUCCAAACUCCUACGGGAGGCAGCAGUGAGGAAUAUUGGUCAAUGGGCGCAGGCCUGAACCAGCCAAGUAGCGUGAAGGAUGACUGCCCUAUGGGUUGUAAACUUCUUUUAUAUGGGAAUAAAGUUUUCCACGUGUGGAAUUUUGUAUGUACCAUAUGAAUAAGGAUCGGCUAACUCCGUGCCAGCAGCCGCGGUAAUACGGAGGAUCCGAGCGUUAUCCGGAUUUAUUGGGUUUAAAGGGAGCGUAGGUGGACAGUUAAGUCAGUUGUGAAAGUUUGCGCCUCAACCGUAAAAUUGCACUUGAUACUGGCUGUCUUGAGUACAGUAGAGGUGGGCGGAAUUCGUGGUGUAGCGGUGAAAUGCUUACAUAUCACGAAGAACUCCGAUUGCGAAGGCAGCUCACUGGACUGCAACUGACACUGAUGCUCGAAAGUGUGGGUAUCAAACAGGAUUAGAUACCCUGGUAGUCCACACAGUAAACGAUGAAUACUCGCUGUUUGCGAUAUACAGUAAGCGGCCAAGCGAAAGCAUUAAGUAUUCCACCUGGGGAGUACGCCGGCAACGGUGAAACUCAAAGGAAUUGACGGGGGCCCGCACAAGCGGAGGAACAUGUGGUUUAAUUCGAUGAUACGCGAGGAACCUUACCCGGGCUUAAAUUGCAUUUGAAUAUAUUGGAAACAGUAUAGCCGUAAGGCAAAUGUGAAGGUGCUGCAUGGUUGUCGUCAGCUCGUGCCGUGAGGUGUCGGCUUAAGUGCCAUAACGAGCGCAACCCUUAUCUUUAGUUACUAACAGGUCAUGCUGAGGACUCUAGAGAGACUGCCGUCGUAAGAUGUGAGGAAGGUGGGGAUGACGUCAAAUCAGCACGGCCCUUACGUCCGGGGCUACACACGUGUUACAAUGGGGGGUACAGAAGGCAGCUACCUGGUGACAGGAUGCUAAUCCCAAAAGCCUCUCUCAGUUCGGAUCGAAGUCUGCAACCCGACUUCGUGAAGCUGGAUUCGCUAGUAAUCGCGGAUCGGCCCUGGCGCGGUGGUUGCGUUCCCGGGCCU